UACGGCCAUAUCACGUUGAAACACCAGCUCUCGUCCGACCAACAAUGUUAAGCAACAUCGAGUCUGGUCAGUACUCAAAUUGGUAACCGCUGGGGAAUACUAGGUGUUGUAAG